rnacentral:rRNA from 1 species
UACGAAGGGUGCAAACGUUGCUCGGAAUUAUUGGGCGUAAAGCGCACGUAGGCGGCUAUCUAAGUCGGAUGUGAAAUCCCUCGGCUUAACCAAGGAAGUGCACCCGAAACUGGAUAGCUUGAGUACAGAAGAGGAUCGCGGAAUUCCCGGUGUAGAGGUGAAAUUCGUAGAUAUCGGGAGGAACACCAGUGGCGAAGGCGGCGAUCUGGGCUGAUACUGACGCUGAGGAGCGAAAGCGUGGGGAGCGAACAGG